GACAGAGGGGGCAAGCGUUGUCCGGAUUCACUGGGCGUAAAGGGCGCGUAGGCGGUUCCGUAAGUCAGGCGUGAAAGCUCACGGCUCAACUGUGGACGUGCGUCUGAUACUGCGGUGACUUGAGGUCGGUAAAGGUAAGUGGAACUAGCGGUGUAGCGGUGAAAUGCGCAGAUAUCGCUAGGAACGCCGGUGGCGAAGGCGACUUGCUGGGCCGUACCUGACGCUGAUGCGCGAAAGCUAGGGGAGCGAACCGG
rnacentral:rRNA from 1 species